UACGUGAGGGGGCAAGCGUUGUCCGGAUUCAUUGGGCGUAAAGAGCGAUGUAGGCGGCCAGGUAGGUCCGUUGUGAAAACGUCGAGGCUCAACCUCGAGACGUCGAUGGAAACCAUCUGGCUUAGAGUCCGGAAGAGGAGAGUGGAAGUUCCUGGUGGUAGCGGUGAAAUGCGCAGAUAUCAGGAAGAACACCUAUGGCGAAGGCAGCUCUCUGGGACGGUACUGACGCUGAGACGCGAAAGCGUGGGGAGCGAACAGG
rnacentral:rRNA from 1 species